GAGCGCAUCGUCCAAUGGCAGGACAGGGGUCUUUUAAGCCUUGAAUGCUAGUUCGAAUCUAGCUGUGCUCA